AAUGAACGCUGGCGGCGUGCUUAACACAUGCAAGUCGCACGAGAACUCUUUAGCUUGCUAAAGAUAGUAAAGUGGCGCACGGGUGAGUAUCGCGUGGGUAAUCUGCCUCUGAAUCUGGGAUAACAUUGCGAAAGCGAUGCUAAUACCGGAUAAUAUCUUUUAAACUUCGGUUUUUAAGAUCAAAGGUGACCUCUAUAUAUAAGUUGCUGUUUGGAGAUGAGCCCGCGUACCAUUAGCUUGUUGGUGGGGUAAUGGCCUACCAAGGCCGCGAUGGUUAGCUGAUCUGAGAGGAUGAUCAGCCACACUGGAACUGACACACGGUCCAGACUCCUACGGGAGGCAGCAGUGAGGAAUUUUGCGCAAUGGGGGAAACCCUGACGCAGCAACGCCGCGUGAGUGAUGAAGGCUUUCGGGUCGUAAAGCUCUGUCAAGUGGGAAGAACAUGUUUGAUGUUAAUACCAUCUUACACUGACGGUACCAC
rnacentral:rRNA from 1 species